UACAGAGACUGCAAGCGUUAUUCGGAUUCACUGGGCGUAAAGGGUGCGCAGGCGGCCAAGUGUGUUAGGCGUGAAAGCCUGAGGCUUAACCUCAGAAUUGCACCUAAAACUACAUGGCUAGAGCAUUGGAGAGGGUAGCGGAAUUCACGGUGUAGCAGUGAAAUGCGUAGAUAUCGUGAGGAACACCAGAGGCGAAGGCGGCUACCUGGACCGGCAUUGACGCUGAGGCGCGAAAGCCAGGGGAGCAAACGGG
rnacentral:rRNA from 1 species